GUUGCCAAAUCAACCCUGUGAUUCGGUUCGCCUACCUGAUCCUUCUCCUUCCCUCUCCUGCAACAACCUCCCGGCCUCCUCAUCAGCCUGGGCCGCCUUCUUCUGUGCCUCCUUUGCUUUCAAUGCCUGCAAUUUGGAAUGAUUAUAGUAGGCAACCCCUAGGAAUGCAAGCCCGUAGCCGACCAAGUUCACCGGCGUCACUGUGUCCUUGAUUACGGACCACGAAAAUGCAAUCAACAGCCAAUCCUUUACAACCCCAGCAACGUUCAUGGUCAAAGCCGAGGUCUUUCCUACCAGCAAAAACACCGCCAAGUUCAAGGCGAAAGCACAAAGCGAAUUGGUCCCGAAAAUCACAAAAUCUAAAUGAAAACUCGAAUUCUGCUUCAAAACGGGGAAUUCCACAAUGAUCCAAGGAAUAAACAGAAAUCCCAAGCAGCAAGGAGCCACGUAGUAAAGCGAAGUGAUCGGAUUUAGGGUGAUGCCCUUGGAAGUCAACAAGAUCUGGAUCAAGACCAAGCGUGUGGCCUCGAAGGCGACGGCACCCAGCUGCAGAAUCACGCCCCAAGAAUCGAAUCGCGCCUCGCCGUAAGCCGCGAUGGCCACUCCGACCGAGAUCGAGACCAUGUUCACCAUCGUAUCAGUCUUGAAACUGUCCUUCUUGAAGAGAACACCGAUGGAGUAGACCGCAACAGGCAUCAGAGCCUUGAGCAUCUGAAUGAAGGAAACCGAGAGAUAAAUAUACGCCGAGUUCGAGAACCACAGCGAGAGCGAGUACAGAGCUCCGAUUGGAACCACAGACGAGAUGUAAAGCUCACGCGACAUCGCAACGGGCUCCACCAGCUUGAGCACUCGCACUAGAAGGUAGGCAAUAGAGGAACAAAACGCCAUAUGGAUCAUAGUAAGCGAGAUCGGAAAGGGCCAGUUGUACAUCUUACGAUCGAGUAUGUACUUGUUGU
rnacentral:lncRNA from 1 species